rnacentral:rRNA from 1 species
AGCUUGCUCUCUUGGCGGCGAGUGGCGGACGGGUGAGUAAUAUAUCGGAACGUGCCCAGUAGCGGGGGAUAACUACUCGAAAGAGUGGCUAAUACCGCAUACGCCCUACGGGGGAAAGGGGGGGAUCGCAAGACCUCUCACUAUUGGAGCGGCCGAUAUCGGAUUAGCUAGUUGGUGGGGUAAAGGCUCACCAAGGCAACGAUCCGUAUGUGGUUUGAGAGGACGACCAGCCACACUGGGACUGAGACACGGCCCAGACUCCUACGGGAGGCAGCAGUGGGGAAUUUUGGACAAUGGGGGAAACCCUGAUCCAGCCAUCCCGCGUGUAUGAUGAAGGCCUUCGGGUUGUAAAGUACUUUUGGCAGAGAAGAAAAGGUAUCCCCUAAUACGGGAUACUGCUGACGGUAUCUGCAGAAUAAGCACCGGCUAACUACGUGCCAGCAGCCGCGGUAAUACGUAGGGUGCAAGCGUUAAUCGGAAUUACUGGGCGUAAAGCGUGCGUAGGCGGUUCGGAAAGAAAGAUGUGAAAUCCCAGGGCUCAACCUUGGAACUGCAUUUUUAACUGCCGAGCUAGAGUAUGUCAGAGGGGGGGGUAGAAUUCCACGUGUAGCAGUGAAAUGCGUAGAUAUGUAGGAGGAAUACCCGAUGGGCGAAAGGCAGCCCCCUGGGAUAAUACUGACGCUCAGACACGAAAGCGUGGGGGAGCAAACAGGGAUUAGAUACCC